GACGUAGGGCGCGAGCGUUGUCCGGAUUUAUUGGGCGUAAAGAGCUCGUAGGCGGCUUGUCGCGUCGGCUGUGAAAACCCGCGGCUCAACUGUGGGCGGGCAGCUGAUACGGGCAGGCUGGAGUUCGGUAGGGGAGACUGGAAUUCCUGGUGUAGCGGUGAAAUGCGCAGAUAUCAGGAGGAGCACCGGUGGCGAAGGCGGGUCUCUGGGCCGAUACUGACGCUGAGGAGCGAAAGCGUGGGGAGCGAACAGG
rnacentral:rRNA from 1 species